GAUGAAGAACGCAGCGAAAUGCGAUAAGUAGUAUGAAUUGCAGAAUUCAGUGAAUCAUCGAAUCUUUGAACGCACAUUGCGCCCUUUGGUAUUCCUUAGGGCAUGCCUGUUCGAGCGUCAUUUAAACCUUCAAGCUAAGCUUGGUGUUGGGUGACUGUCCGCUUCACGGCGGACUCGCCUCAAAAUUAUUGGCGGCCGGUACAUUGGCUUCGAGCGCAGCAGAAACGCGAACUCGGGCCCGUCGUAUUGGCUCCCAGAAGCUAUCUUCACAAUUUUGACCUCGGAUCAGGUAGGGAUACCCGCUGAACUUAAGCAUAUCAAUAAGCGGAGGA
rnacentral:misc_RNA from 1 species